ACUGAAUGAUGCAUGACUGUGGCAAUUUCUUAAAAUAAGACAAGAGUGAAAUCUUUCACAUUGAAUGACUCUUCUUUCAAAAGAGUUUUCUCCAUAGCAUGCAAUGGAAUUUGGUACCAUAUUAUCCAAUUGGCACUUUUUUCAAAAUUGGAAUCAAUCUUUUUAAACCCUGCUACUUACUGUUUUAUUAACAAAUUUUAGUUAUCAUUCUAAGUAUUUUGUUGUUGUUUCAACAAUGUUCACAGCAUCUUCACCAAGAAAUCACUUUCUUUGCUCAUCUAUAAAAAGCAAUUCCUCACCCACAAAAGUCUUAUUAUGAGAUGGUAGCAAUUCAGUUAUGUCUUUAAACUCUGCUUCUAAUUCUAGUUCUCUCGCUAUUUCUGCUACAUCUGCUAUUAUGCCCCCACUGAAGUCUCAAACCCCUCAAUGCAAUCCAUGAGGGUUACCCUCAUGUUAAUGGAAUCAACUUAUGUUGGUGCUGGUAUUUUGACCUCCUUCCAUGAAUCACAAAUGUUCUUCAUGGCACCUAGAAUGAUAAAUCUUUCCCAGAAGGUUUUCAAUUUACUUUGCUCAAAUCCAUCAGAAGAAUGACUAUCUAUGACAGCUAUCACCUUAUAAAAUGAAUUUCAUAAUAAGACUUGAAAGUAAAAAUUAUUUCUUGAUAUAUAGCUACAGAAUGGAUGUUGUGUUAGCAGACAUGAAAACAACAUUAAUCUCAUAUAGCUCCAUCAGAACUCUUGGGAGACAAGGUGCAUUGUCAAUGAGCAGUAAUAUUUUUUAAAGAAUCUAUUUUUAGCUAUGCGAGGUAGUACAUGCCUGUAGUCCCAGCUUCUUGGGAGGCCAAGAAGAAAGUGUCACUUGAGUUCAUGAGUUCAUGAGCUCACAAGUUUGAAACCAGACUGGGCAAAAUAGU
rnacentral:lncRNA from 1 species